GAAGUCACAAACAGCUCUAGCUAUAUAAAGAAUACAGUUCAACUGCUGGUAGCAAGCCAGUAAGGAAUGCGCCUCAUCACUGUCUUUCAGUUUAGGAUAUUGGUCUGCAAGUUCCUAUCUCCCUUAUUUUUCUAGAGCACAUCACACCCACUCAGUAAGCACUGAAUGGUAAGCACUAAAUUAACAAAAGUCCUCCUGACUGCAGAGUAUGACUAGCCAAUCCUCCUUCAUCAUUUUGUUUUUGGCAAGUGUGCUACUUUUGCUGCUUUAGAGUCCAGGGUACAAGCCUGGUUCCCUCAAGGCUGGAAAUCCUAAUCAAAAUACAGAAAGGAACUGUUUCAUGAAUGCUUUUAAAUAGGGAAAUCCUAAAAUUACUAGUGUCUCUGGUCUUUUAAAAAUGUAGAUUUCAGUAAGUGGGUAAAUCCCUGGGCUCAAAUGACAGAAAGCAAACUAA
rnacentral:lncRNA from 1 species